GACGAACGCUGGCGGCGUGCUUAACACAUGCGAGUCGAACGGAAAGGCCUCUUUCGGGGGGUACUCGAGUGGCGAACGGGUGAGUAACACGUGAGUAACCUGCCCUUGACUUUGGGAUAACUUCAGGAAACUGGGGCUAAUACCGGAUAGGAGCUCCUGCUGCAUGGUGGGGGUUGGAAAGUUUCGGCGGUUGGGGAUGGACUCGCGGCUUAUCAGCUUGUUGGUGGGGUAGUGGCUUACCAAGGCUUUGACGGGUAGCCGUCCUGAGAGGGUGACCGGCCACAUUGGGACUGAGAUACGGCCCAGACUCCUACGGGAGGCAGCAGUGGGGAAUAUUGCACAAUGGGUGGAAGCCUGAUGCAGCAACGCCGUGUGCGGGAUGACGGCCUUCGGGUUGUAAACCGCUUUCGCUCAUGACGAAGCUUUGUGUGACGGUAGUGGGUAAAGAAGCACCGGCUAACUACGUG
rnacentral:rRNA from 1 species